rnacentral:rRNA from 1 species
GGAAUGACGGGCCCGCACAAGCAGCGGAGCGUGUGGUUUAAUUCGAGGCUACACGAAGAACCUUACCAGGGUUUGACAUGUCACGUGGUAGGAAUCCGAAAGGUGACCGACCCUUCGGGGAGCGUGCACAGGUUGUUGCAUGGCUGUCGUCAGCUCGUGCCGUGAGGUGUUAGGUUAAGUCCUGUAACGAGCGCAACCCUGCCGUUAGUUACAUGUGUCUAACGGGACUGCCCGGCUCAACCGGGAGGAAGGUGGGGACGACGUCAAGUCAGCAUGGCCUUUAUAUCCUGGGCUACACACACGCUACAAUGGUCGGUACAAUGGGUCGCCAAGCCGCGAGGCGGAGCCAAUCCUCCAAAACCGGCCUCAGUUCAGAUUGUAGGCUGCAACUCGCCUGCAUGAAGUUGGAGUUGCUAGUAACCGCGCGUCAGCUAUAGUGCGGUGAAUACGUUCCCGGGGCUU